rnacentral:rRNA from 1 species
GACGAACGCUGGCGGCGUGCUUAACACAUGCAAGUCGAACGGAAAGGCCCUGCUUUUGUGGGGUGCUCGAGUGGCGAACGGGUGAGUAACACGUGAGUAACCUGCCCUUGACUUUGGGAUAACUUCAGGCAACUGGGGCUAAUACCGGAUAGGAGCUCCUGCUGCAUGGUGGGGGUUGGAAAGUUUCGGCGGUUGGGGAUGGACGCGCGGCUUAUCAGCUUGUUGGGGGGGGAGUGGCUUACCAAGGCUUUGACGGGUAGCCGGCCUGAGAGGGUGGCCGGCCACCUGGGUACUGCGGUACGGCCCAGUCGCCUAUGGGAGACAGCAGUGGGGAAUAUUGUACAAUGGGCGGAAGCGUGAUGAAGAAACGCCGCGUUCGGGAUGACGGCCUUCGGGUUGUAAACCGCUUUCGCCUGUGACGAAGCGUGAGUGACGGUACUGGGUAAAUAAGCACCGGCUAACUACGUG